UACGAAGGGUGCUAGCGUUGUUCGGAAUCACUGGGCGUAAAGCGCGCGUAGGCGGCGUCGCAAGUCAGAGGUGAAAGCCUGGAGCUCAACUCCAGAAUUGCCUUUGAUACUGAGGAUCUUGAGUUCGGGAGAGGUGAGUGGAACUGCGAGUGUAGAGGUGAAAUUCGUAGAUAUUCGCAAGAACACCAGUGGCGAAGGCGGCUCACUGGCCCGAUACUGACGCUGAGGCACGAAAGCGUGGGGAGCAAACAGG
rnacentral:rRNA from 1 species